CUUGGCGUCCAUAGAGAAGCGGGUACACCCGACCCCAUUCCGAACUCGGCAGUUAAGCGCUUCAUCGCCCAUGAUACUGCGCACUCUUACGUGGGAAAGUAGGCCGAUGCCAAGG
rnacentral:rRNA from 1 species